GGUGGGUCGGGGGCCGUGACAUAAACAUUUGUGCAUUCAUUUAUGAUCAACCCUCAUGUGUCAGAUUUUGAUUCUACAUGAGGGCAUGUUUCUAACACCAGUGAUUGUAGGAACCCCAGCUACAAGGAUGAAGAAGGUGGCGAGUAAUGUAGUGAAGAAACGAGUCUUUGAAUUGUUUGCACCUUUCAAUGGCAUAUGUAGUCUGCUGCUGCUUUAGCUGUUGAAUUAUGCAUAUGGAGUGUAGUUGCUGAUUUUUACAGAAGGUCGUCUGAGCCGUACAAUGAAUGUGGUAGGUCACAACCUACAUCUGAUGCGCUUUCAAAAGGUGCCUUGUAGUUGAGGAACAUUACUAUCUUUUUCUCUUAUAGAAUCUUUAUAAUAUUUAUGCGCCUAGCUAAGGAUCAAAUAUUAUUAUUUAGAGGGAAAGAAAAAGGCGACGAAUGAACGCCUAGAUAUGGCUGGUGUAAAGGACAUGUAAAAUUGAUAUUGUUGGAAGAUCCUGCUAGCAAAGAGAGAAAUCUUAUUGGCAAUAAAUAAGAAUGCUAAUGUACAAGCGUUUAAUGUAGUUAUGAAAGUGAGAAUCGAAGUGGGUAAAAAUCAAUGUAUUCAAGUUUGUUUGACAAGGGCAACAUUCGAUUCAGGAGUUGGGAGCCUAAGGAUGACUGGCAGAAGGAGAAAAUGGACUUUAUUCAAGGCGUGAGCCGCAUUUCGACAUUACCAAGGACCAAUGUAAAAGAGUCAAGCAAGCUUUAGAGCUAGAAGUUUAGGAUAAGUGUAAAUAUCUAGCUCUCAUGUUUUAAUAGGUUCGUCUAGCAUGGAGCUUAUGCAAGUAGCUGAUAAGGCAACCAUAGAUAAAAGGUUGAAGCUUAUGUUGAGGUUUUUAGGACUCUCAAUGAUGCUAGACAACAUGUUAGACAAAGAUGUUGAUUGAGUAUAUCAAGCCCUUACUUGAUUUUUGUGA